UCUGCUUUCAGUCAGCAAGGGACAGACAGGUUCUUAGCUCACAGAAGAGACUCAAGCUUUGAUUCCCGAGAGAUCUGUGCCCUGGGGGACCCUCUUGUAUGGAACUGCAGCAGUCUUGCUGUGACUCUGAUCACAGGAUUUGUACUAGGAAUAGGAUCAUUCGAGAAUACAGGAGCAUGAGGCGUUCAAAAUGGUUGGGUGGCAGUUUCAACUUCCAGUUUGGUGGGAAAACUGUGUCACUUGGUGGAGGCAUUCGUCCCUCAGACACUACAGGCUUUUAACAUACCUCUCCUCCGUAUAGUCAUGAGGCCAAGAGGCAAAGAAUGUUUGAGUGUGUAAAACGGUUUCAUUGUGAGAGAGCCACUCCUACAUCCAGCCCCUUGGUUCUUGAACUGCUCUCUGGCUAAAGGAGAAACAGUACGUACCCUGAUUCAGAGCAUUACUGUAUCCUGUGGAUGGCUCUCUAGUUCAUGAAGUGUCUACAGCUGGGACCUUACGUGGACCUUCAGGAGGCCUCUCCGUCAUGGUAGAAUGCUGACUAAUGGAGCACGUGGUAAGACCAAUGAAUCCUGCGGGUGUCCCCUG